UCCAUUAGGGUCCUGCUGGGAUGGAGUGU
rnacentral:piRNA from 1 species